rnacentral:tRNA from 1 species
GCGGGAUGGUCUGGAGCGGUUCCAGCUCGGUCUCAUAAGCCGAAUGACGCAGGUUCGAAUCCUGCUCCCGCA